rnacentral:ncRNA from 1 species
AAAGGAUAAAGGCAAACUCGGUGAAAGCUGAGGACGCAAAGCCGCGAGUCUACAGCUUGAAAAAGGCCAGGAUAGUCGGGUUGCCGUG